GGCAACUGUUGGACAACAGCUGCAGAGAGAGUUACAGCGACAUCUACUCACUGUGUGCAAGAGGAGAAGGAGAGAGAAUGAGUCGUCUCAUCGGGUUGGUGGGCGAGGCCGGCACUGAGGAGAAGGAAGGGUUGGAGAGUUCCUGCCGUCUUCUCCACCAAGGCAUCGAUGACAUCAUGGAGGGUCGCACAGGGAAUCUGGCAAAGAGAAACACAACAGUAUAUCUAUAAAUUUAGGUCUUGUCGUGUGGUGACAGCCAGUGAACACCCGUCUCUUCCAGGACGAAGCAACAUGUUGCCACAGUCUGGGUGUCUCUCCAGCAGAGUUUCAGCUUCUGUUCUAGACACUGGACGAAAGCAGCUGCGAACACAAAAUGGCACAGACAGUGGCGAAGGAGGAGCUCGCGUCGGAGUACGGAUUCUCCGUCUGGACCUUUCUUUGUCCACCACCUCCUUCAGCAUCUGCAGUUGGCCCGGC